UUAGUGAUCUGGGCACAGAGACUUUGAAAGUGUGCACAGAAGUCAGACCAGAGUCAGAGAAGACCUGGCUGCAAAGAGAGCAGACAGAUGAGGUGAUGAGACCCAGAAAAUUGGAGCAAGCCAAAUUCCCUCCUUCCUGAAUCUGAAAUUUUUAAGUUUGACUUAAGGAUGGAACUACAGUAGCUAUCUCCUGAAUCACUGCCCAGUUGCCAGCUGCAAGUCCUCACUCCAAAGAAGUAAGUGUCCACAGCACAAAGCCAGAAGAAUCUCUGAAGGGCAAUUAUAGCAGAUAAUAGCAGAAGGAACUGGUGUUCUGAAGUCAGAAAUAAUUCCCACCAGCUUUGAGAUUAAUUUCAUUGCACAGAGAGAGCAUUACCGAUUGC